CCUACGGGAGGCAGCAGUGAGGAAUAUUGGUCAAUGGACGAGAGUCUGAACCAGCCAAGUAGCGUGAAGGAUGACUGCCCUAUGGGUUGUAAACUUCUUUUAUAAAGGAAUAAAACGAGGCACGUGUGCCUUUUUGCAUGUACUUUAUGAAUAAGGAUCGGCUAACUCCGGGCCAGCAGCCGCGGUAAUACGGAGGAUCCGAGCGUUAUCCGGAUUUAUUGGGUUUAAAGGGAGCGUAGAUGGGUUGUUAAGUCAGUUGUGAAAGUUUGCGGCUCAACCGUAAAAUUGCAAUUGAUACUGGCAGUCGUGAGUACAGUUGAGGUAGGCGGAAUUCGUGGUGUAGCGGUGAAAUGCUUAGAUAUCACGAAGAACCCCGAUUGCGAAGGCAGCUUACUAAACUGUGACUGACAUUGAUGCUCGAAAGUGUGGGUAUCAAACAGGAUUAGAUACCCUAGUAGUC
rnacentral:rRNA from 1 species